GGAGACGUGGCAGAGUGGUUGAAUGCACCGGUCUUGAAAACCGACAAGGGUUUGUAGCCCUUCGAGAGUUCGAAUCUCUCCGUCUCCUCCA
rnacentral:tRNA from 15 species